rnacentral:tRNA from 1 species
AUUUAUAUAAUAUAAAAAAUUAUAUUUGACUUCCAAUCAAAAAAUUUAACUUUAGUUAAUAUAAAUA